rnacentral:lncRNA from 1 species
CCCAGUGCCCCAGACCAAAAUCAAAAUGCCCCUAUGCUAUUCUCAUAGCUCCCGUUUAAACCUUAAGCUAUCAAUUAGCAGUAAAGUAAGUAUGUUGCUGAAUUGGAAAGCUACAAUUCAGUAAUUCACUGCUAGUUACAAUAGUUCUCCACUAGAUACAGCACAGAUAAUUUACAACAAUGACUCAUUGAAUGAAAAGAAGAACCUUGCACUACAUCGAUGAUAAGGCCAGAGGUACGAAAGGAGUGAAAAUACAGCAUAUCGCCGAGAGAGCCAUCUGUUAACCCCGGGCAGAAUACUGGAAUAUU